CAUCUCACAGAACUUAGUCCCGUCCUCGCUGAGCGAAUAGCCGUGCCAGGCCAUAUUGGUCCACCAACUCGCAUUGAAGGGAUCCAUAGGAUGUAUAGUAACAAUGUUGUAUGGUGUGAGAGUUAAAAAAUAUUAGAUUUUAAAAGGUGUUUUAAGAGUUUUGGUACAACAAAGAUAUCCUAUAUUUAACCUUUAAUACAUGACUAUAUAAAAACAACUUUGCAGGUGUUUCGGUUCUUGUGUUCUUGGUGAACUGAUUAAAUAGGGGUUAGGACAGAUAGAU